rnacentral:rRNA from 1 species
UCGAGAAUCUUCGGCAAUGGGCGAAAGCCUGACCGAGCAAUGCCGCGUGCGGGAUGAAGGCCCUCGGGUUGUAAACCGCGAAAGUAAGGAGGAAGGACCUGCGAAGAGCAGGUUUUGACCGAUCUACAGUAAGGACGGGCUAAGUUCGUGCCAGCAGCCGCGGUAACACGAACCGUCCAAACGUUAUUCGGAAUUAUUGGGCUUAAAGGGUGCGUAGGCGGCGCUUUAAGUCGGGUGUGAAAUCCUUCGGCUCAACCGAAGAAUUGCGCCCGAUACUGGAGUGCUAGAGGGAGACAGGGGUGAGCGGAACUGAUGGUGGAGCGGUGAAAUGCGUUGAUAUCAUCAGGAACACCGGUGGCGAAAGCGGCUCACUGGGUCUCUUCUGACGCUGAGGCACGAAAGCCAGGGUAGCGAACG